AUGGCUCGUCAUGGCGGCGGCGGCGGCAGCUGCACGUCGUCGGCGUCUCUGGCCAGGUACAUCCCGCGGGCAUUCCGGGGCCGGAAGAAGCAGCCGCCGUACCUCAUGGGGGGCCGGCGGCGGGCGCCCGACGGCUACGCGGCGUCGGUGGAGCUCAGCGCGAGCGCCGGCUCCACGUGGCCGGCCGACUCGGUGGUGCGGGUGGUGCUCUGGAGCGGCAUCGUGGAGGUGUACGCGGGCGUGGUGCUCGCCUGCGCCGUCGUCGGCAACCACCCGCCGGGCCUCUGCCUCGCGCACCCCGACGUCUUCCGCAACCCGCACGGCGCCACGGUCAGGCCGCUCGAGCCGCUCUUCCCCGGCCAGAAGGUGCUGCUGCUGCCCGAGACCACCGUGCGCCGGCUCCAGCGGGAUAUACCCGAGGGCUCCGUCGGGGCCAACCCCGACCACGACGGCCGCGAGGACGAGGACGCGGCGUCGUCCACUGACGACACGGACGCGGACGCUGAUAUGUCCUCGUCGUCGUGGUCCGGCGAGGAGCGGGAGGCGGCGCCGGAGGGGUGCUGCGCGCGGGACUACUUCGUGAACCGGGAACUCUGGGCCGAGUGGCAGUUCAAGAGGAUGGUGGCCCGUGGGCUCGCCGUCAAAAAGGAGGGCGCCGCCGGGCCGGCGAAGAAGGACAAGAAGAGGCGGAGGAAGACGAAGCAGACGGACGGCAUGCCGGACGCCGCGGCGGGCACGGGGUGCCGGAACUCCGGCAGGAUAAGCCAGGCGCAGAAGUGGACGAGGUCGUGGGAGCCCAGCCUGCCGUCCGUGGACGAGCACGAGGAGGACGAGACGCCGCCGUCGACCCCUUCAUCGGAGGCGGCGGCGAGGACCGACCACGAGACGGCAUGA
rnacentral:rRNA from 1 species